UAGCACGUUCCUAAAACUAACCUAUCUGUCAGUAUGCUAUCUUCCUUGGUGUCACAUUCACAGCUUUGUAUCAAGUUUUUUAGAUCACUAAGAUAACUAUCAAAAGGUUCAUAUGCAGCUUGAAUUCUUUUAUUAAAUACAAAAUGUUCAUAUGUUUUAUUUCUUCUGGGAGCACAAUACUUCUUAAAUUCUGAUAUGACACUAUCAAAUUUAUUAGGUUCUGGUAUUUUAAGAAUAUUAUAUAUAUCAACUCCUUCCGGUCCAAUCAUAUUUAAAAACAAAGCAAUUUUUACUCUAUCGGCUUUGUCAUCUUUCGCAGUUGCAAUAAGAUACAUUUCAAAAUUUUGGUAAAACCGUCUAACAUUUUCAUGAAGGUUUCCCUCGAAUUUCAUAGAUUCUGGCACUUUUCCUUCCAUUCUGGAUAACUGUACUUUUGGCUCUUUUUGGCUCUUGUACUGACUAUCUCCUAACCUUCUAACCUAUAUCUAACUUCAUUGUGCCAAGAUUUGGUUAGUUUUCAAAUUACCAUGUUUUGCAUUUUAGUCAAUCAGUUUUCUUGAAUUUUUUCCACGUUAUCAAUAAUAAUUGUAGUCCAAAUAUAUACAAAUUGGUUUACGGAUAACGUUUACUUUUUUCAAUAAGUUUUUAUGAUUGUUAACCGUACGUUCUACUACUAUUCGUAUUUUUGUUGUAUUUAGUUGGCAUGUGACUAUCUGCCGACUAUUCAUUUUCCAUGACCACUGACUUACCCGACUUUACACUUUCAUAUUUUUCAUAUUUCGUAUUUUUUUUCACGAAGCAUUUAUUCUAACCUUAAGAUUAUGGCUCAAGUUUAAAUUACCCAGAUAUCUUUUGAAUAUUGUAGUACACAUAAUAUGAACAUGUAGUUAUUUUGCUUAAAAAUAAAAGUUUGGAAUACAAGUAACUAACUAACUCAUAAGGAUUUGCGGUUUGCGGCACAAUAUAUUUUCUAAAUAGAAGUAAAUAAGGGACAGAAAAA
rnacentral:lncRNA from 1 species